UACGAAGGGGGCUAGCGUUGUUCGGAAUCACUGGGCGUAAAGGGCGCGUAGGCGGCUUUAUAAGUCGGGGGUGAAAGCCUGUGGCUCAACCACAGAAUUGCCUUCGAUACUGUAGAGCUUGAGACCGGAAGAGGUAAGUGGAACUGCGAGUGUAGAGGUGAAAUUCGUAGAUAUUGGGAAGAACACCGGUGGCGAAGGCGGCUCACUGGCUCAUUACUGACGCUCAGGCGCGAUAGCGUGGGGAUCAAACAGG
rnacentral:rRNA from 1 species